UAAACUUAUACCUUAGUAAUCAGGUGCUAAUAAAACUUGACCAACUAAAAUUGCUUAUCGCAGUAAGCCAGUCAGCCUUUCCUUGAUUUUGGACUUCAUGUCAUAUAAUUCCCAACACUUGCUGUUAUAUCUAUAAAGAAAUUAAAACAAAAAGGAUAGUAAAAAAUGAUCUUUCAAAACAAUUCUCAAUAAAAAAGUAUUAGAAAUGAGAAUGGGUUUUGGUUGUUUUUAAAUUUAUAGAGCGAAUCAAAUAAUUUUGCAUGCAUAAAGAGGCGGCUUAAUAACCGUAAAAAAAUCAGCACUACGCUGUCAUCGAGAUGGCCUGACGCCUGAGCGCGUCUGCAUCUCUUUGUCUUUCGAUCUUGCCUUCCUCUCCUGGAGGCGACUCGGCAGCCGGCCCUCGCCGUUCCCCACCGGCAGCCGGCGCUCCUGGGACUGGAAGGCGACGCCGCGAGGGUGACCCCGCGGGCACGGCGGCACUUCCGCUGCUCCUUCUCCGCCCACCAGCUGCCGCCUGCUGCCAGUCUGACUCCUCCAUCCAGGCCUCCAGGCCGAGCCGCCCCACCGUCUGCGGUCCGCCGAGCCGCCAAGAAAUUAUCGGGUGUAUGCCCAUGUCUUAUACUGGGUCUGCCUCUGAGAGAAGGUCGGUCUGCGCGUCACUGGCCAAAGGGGUUGAUUCAGAGAUGCGUUUUUCGAGAGAAGAUCUGGUUGGGUCAGCGUUCAUUGCUUUUGGGGUCACUUUGUUUGUGGGUUUCUUCUACGCUGCCGUCGUGUCCAAGCUGCUUCCACCAUAUGAAAACAGUCUUCUAGCUGCCAUCCAAAAUGAUUGGUAUUACUGCCUACUUGUGCCAUUGACGCUUCCUGUCAUAAUCGUGGCAGUCUAUCUGCAUUGGCUUAGCAUGAAGAUGUUUAAACAUGCAUGAAGCAAGAUUUCCGUGGAUUUCAUAGAACAAGUAUGCAGUUUUGUUCCAGUUCAAACUCUGGAUGAGAUGAGGAUCAAGAUGUGAAGAUGCUCUGGAGAAUUGUGGACUGAUGCUAGCAGACGAUGUUUUUUACUUUUUAUGCUCCAAGGUCAAGUUUGAGGUAACUUUGAAGGAGCAACUAUCUGUGCCGGGCCUUUAUAAGGAAGCACUGAAUUGCAAGUUGAGUCUGCUCGCUAGUCGCUGAAGAAGGCAGAACGUGCUGCGGAAGACCUGAAGAAUUUGGUGUCCUUCUUGAGUGUUUUCUGCUUUUAGUCAAUGUGGUGAUUGUAAUAUUUCACAUGGUUGGAAACAUCUUUUUUGCCUGCUGUAUGGAGGUUUAACGCUUGACUUAUCCUCCCUCCUAUGCUCUCUGUGCGCUUUAUGGUCGAUAUGAAGAUUGAAGAAAGAGUGUCAGCAACUGGUUCAAUCAGUAUGCGCCACCUUGUGGUGGAAUUUGUAUUGGAAAAAA